AAUAGGAUUUUAAGCUAAUGGUGUCCCAGAAUACCAAAGAUUUCUAAAUCAUUGUGAAGAACAGUCGGCUUCCAGCAGCAGUGACAUUCAAGGAUGGAAAGAGAGGGGCAUGAUUCCUUUGUGGAGAAAAGUUUGAAAACUGGACGCAGAAUCACUACUAACAUUUUGGGGCCCAGCAGACAGUUUGAAUGGAAGUCAUGGUGGCAGAUGAAUGGAAGUCAUGGUGGCAGACAUCCUUAUGGUCUUACUGAUCACAGUGGAAUGGUUUCAAAAUUUCAAUAGGAGUGUUCGGAGAUUGGGCAACCACCAGUCAGGCCAUCGUGGAAGAGCUUAUUGCAG